GAUGAAGAACGUAGCGAAAUGCGAUAAGUAAUGUGAAUUGCAGAACUCAGUGAAUCAUCGAAUCUUUGAACGCACAUUGCGCCCGCCAGUAUUCUGGCGGGCAUGCCUGUUCGAGCGUCAUUACAACCCUCAGGCCCCCGGGCCUGGCGUUGGGGAUCGGCGGAGCCCCCCGUGGGCACACGCCGUCCCCCAAAUACAGUGGCGGUCCCGCCGCAGCUUCCAUCGCGUAGUAGCUAACACCUCGCGACUGGAGAGCGGCGCGGCCACGCCGUAAAACACCCAACUCUUCUGAAGUUGACCUCGAAUCAGGUAGGAAUACCCGCUGAACUUAAGCAUAUCAAUAAGCGGAGGA
rnacentral:misc_RNA from 1 species